AGAGUUUGAUCAUGGCUCAGGACGAACGCCGGCGGUGUGCCUAAUACAUGCAAGUCGUACGCACUGGCCCAACUGAUUGAUGGUGCUUGCACCUGAUUGACGAUGGAUCACCAGUGAGUGGCGGACGGGUGAGUAACACGUAGGUAACCUGCCCCGCGG
rnacentral:rRNA from 1 species